rnacentral:rRNA from 1 species
AACGAACGCUGGCGGCAUGCCUAACACAUGCAAGUCGAACGAGCCCUUCGGGUCUAUUGGCGCACGGGUGCGUAACGCGUGGGAACCUGCCCUUAGGUUCGGAAUAACUCCCCGAAAGGGGUGCUAAUACCGGAUAAUGUCUUCGGACCAAAGAUUUAUCGCCGUUGGAUGGGCCCGCGUUGGAUUAGCUAGUUGGUAGGGUAAAAGCCUACCAAGGCGACGAUCCAUAGCUGGUCUGAGAGGAUGAUCAGCCACACUGGGACUGAGACACGGCCCAGAAUCCUACGGGAGGCAGCAGUGGGGAAUAUAGGAAAAUGGGCGAAAGCCUGAUCCAGCAAUGCCGCGUGAAUGAUGAAGGCCUUAGGGUUGUAAAGCUCUUUUACCCGGGAUGAUAAUGACAGUACCGGGAGAAUAAGCUCCGGCUAACUCCGUG